UUUCCCGCGGCCCGGCCGCGGUCUCGGGCGAAAUUGUUACGUCCUUGCUUAGCGAUGCUUCGGCGUCGGCUUUUAUCCCGCGACUCGGAGAGCGGAUGGAAAGAGCGGUCGCUGACUGCCGCGAUGGAAACCCUCUCUCGCCCUCCCCGGGAGUGGUUAAAAGCUGGGAUUUUCACUCAAAUGCGCUUUACUUAGUGCUCGGAGCAGGGUCGUCCCCGGCUGUGACGUUGGAUUGCCUUGCAGGGGCGAAGGGUUUGACUCCAGGUAUCCGCAUUCCCACGUUUGGGUCGUCUCGGUGCAGGAUGCGCCGCCAACGUGCCCCAAAACAGCCCCGAAAGCGGAUCGCUCUAAAAGCAAACGUAAAGGUCCUGCUUCAUCGGGAGGUUUGCUGCAGCACUUUGGGUUUUCAAAUGCUCUUUCUGGCUGGGAAAGACAAUGGAGGGGUUUUUUUGGGCCACGAAACUAGAGUUUUGGGGGGGGAUUCCUGCCACCGGCCACGGUUCUCGCUGUCCCGUGUCCCUUCCUAGCCCCGACAGCGGAUCUCCAAAAAUCACAGCUCUAGUUUGCCAACGCAGUCGUUCCUCUCUCCGCUCCCUGCUGACUUCUGGAGAGGAGCCGUUUCUCUCAACUUCUCAGCGCAAAAAAAUCCCGCAGCCUCAGCUCGUUCCUGCUGCAAGUCGAGCUCCAGCGACGCCUCGGACACCAGAGUUUGCUCCCCAAAACAGCGAAACCGUGGGGUGAGCAGCCUCCUGAGCUGCUGUCGUGAAAUCCCGGCCUCGGCAAUCAAAGUAUGAGGCGAACCCAGGAGCGGGGGCUAGAGGGACCGAAAGACCCCCUUAAAUACCACGAGGCACCCGAAUUGCAAGAGCUGCCAGCAGUGAAACCGGGGAGGGGGCGCCACCACCGCCGGCGGCCGCUCACACCUUCCUCCUCCUCCUCC